UGGAAUUCUUGCUUCUUGCAUGUUGCUGCAAACCAAGACCCAGUUCCAAGUUGAGCGUUCUGAAAUGGCUCGUUGGAGGCCUAAAUUGCCGAUCAAAGGUGAUCCAAAAGUGAUGCAGAAAGGACGUGUGUUGGAGCGUGGACUGAUACUAUCAAGCAGCCAUAAGGUAAAGAGAGAAGCUACUGAUCCACCCAGAGAAUUUCC
rnacentral:misc_RNA from 1 species